CGAAUGAGAAAACACAUUGGGGAUAACUUGCUACGUCCAGCAGUCACCCGUUUCGCUACAGCCUUUUUAACACUACAAAGGCUAGAUGCAAAGAAAUCAGAACUUAGAAGCUUUGUAGUGUCAGCCAAUUUUACAAGUGGGCCUUGGUCAAAGAAGGCUGACGGAAAACGGGUUCAACAAACAAUUCUUUCUCAAAGUUUUUGGACUCAGGUGGUAAAGGCGCUAAAAUCAUCCGAGCCCUUAGUCUCUGUGUUGCGAUUGGUAGACGGGGAUGAGAAGCCUGCAAUGGGCUACAUGUAUGAUGCGAUGAAAAGGGCAAAAAAUAAGAUCAUGGACCAUUUUAACUAUAGAGACCAUGAUUAUAGGCCAAUUUUAGAUAUUAUAGAUAAAAGAUGGGGCAGCCAAAUGUCAUCCUCAUUGUAUUCGGCUGCUUACAUCCUUAACCCAGCCUAUUUAUUCGCUUCUGCUGAUCCAGCAGAAGCACUAACUAUGCAUAUGGUUGGAUUUAUUGAUGUCUUGGAAAGAAUGAUUCCAGAUAGAGGAGAACAGGACAAGAUCUUAACUUUCCUGGACUUCUGCACAAAAAGUAAAGGAAUAUUCUCAAGGGAUAUUGUAAUAAGACAUCGAACAAUGAAAUUACCUACUGACUAGUAAGCUGCCUAUGGAGUGGACCCGAACAGGAAGGAUCAAGCUCUAAAGAAGCUGGCUAUGAAGAUUCUUAGACUCACGUGUUCUGCCAGUGGUUGCGAGCGCAAUUGGAGCACGUUCGAGUUGAUUCAUACCAAGAAAAGGAAUCGCCUUGAGUAAAAAAAGCUCAACGACUUGGUUUUCGUUCAAUACAAUCAAAAAUUGUGAGAACGAUUUCAAAGUAGGAAAGAAAAGCCCAGCUUCUUUGACCCUAUCUGCUUAGAUGAGUUGGAUGCAGAUAACGAGUGGCUCGUAGAGACGGAGGACUCGGUAUUUGCUGGAGAGGAUCUGACAUGGGCAUAAGUUGAAGAUGCCGCAUAUGGAUUGACACCUGGUGAAGGUAGUAGUACCACUCGAAGGCGAAGGACGGGGGAAAGCCGGGGGGCGAGUAGUAGUCGUCAACCCGUUGAUGAGAUUGAGGAGAUUGAAGAAGGAGAAGGUGAUAAUGAUGAUCAAAUUGAAGAUCAUCCACCAUUGGAUGUUGAUGAAGUAUUAGUACGUACAGAUGACGAAGAAACGGAAGAAGAAGAAGUGUAUGUAGAAGAAGGAGAUGACUCGAAUGAUGAUGAUGAUGAUGGUGGUGGUGGUGGUGGACUUGGUGGUGAUGUGCCACAAUGGAUGCUAGAUCAAUGUAUAUCAUGAUU